ensembl:lncRNA
GCUGGGGGAGGCAGGAGUAGGAAGGGAGACAAGGGAUGUUAGGGAGGCAGAAGGAGGCAGGGGGUGUUAGGGAGGCUGGGGGAGGCAGGGGUAGGAAGGGAGGCAGGGGGUGUUAGGGAGGCUGGGGCAGGCAGGGGUAGGGAGGCAGGGGUAGGAAGGAAGGCAGAGGGUGUUAGGGAGGCUGGGGGAGGCAGGAGUAGGAAGGAGACAAGGGAUGUUAGGGAGGCAGAAGGAGGCAGGGGGUGUUAGGGAGGCUGGGGGAGGCAGGGGUAGGAAGGGAGGCAGGGGGUUGUUAGGGAGGCUGGGGGAGGCAGGGGUAGGAAGGGAGGUAGGGAGUUGUUAGGGAGGCUGGGGGAGGCAGGGGUAGGAAGGGAGGCAGGGGGUGUUAGGGAGGCUGGGGGAGGCAGGGGUAGGAAGGGAGGUAGGGGUGUUAGGGAGGCUGGGGGAGGCAGAGGGUUGUUAGGGAGGCUGGGGUGGCAGGGGUAGGAAGGGAGGUAGGGG